rnacentral:snoRNA from 1 species
ACAGGAGCGUGCUGCGCAGGCCCAGAUGAUGUCCACUGCCCUGCUGCUUUCUACUGCACCAGUGCCCGCAGAUGAUCAAGAAGAGGAGGAGCAGCUCGAUGCUUACGCCCUCUACGGCCCGAGGCGUGCCGUUGGCCGCCCCGC